UCAAACUUGGUCAUUUAGAGGAAGUAAAAGUCGUAACAAGGUUUCCGUAGGUGAACCUGCGGAAGGAUCAUUAAUGAAUAGCUAAAUGCAUUCAAAAUCCCAUUAUACAUUUGUGCACAUUUGUAGACUUGAGUACAACUCGGUCUAUGUUUUUCUUUGAAACACUUUGAAAACGUUAUUGUUUUUGAUAAAUGUAUUUUAAUACAACUUUCAACAACGGAUCUCUUGGCUCUCGCAUCGAUGAAGAACGCAGC
rnacentral:misc_RNA from 1 species